UACGUAGGGUGCAAGCAUUGUCCGGAAUUAUUGGGCGUAAAGAGCUCGUAGGCGGUUUGUUGCGUCGGCUGUGAAAUCCCGAGGCUCAACCUCGGGUCUGCAGUCGAUACGAGCAAACUAGAGUGUUGCAGGGGAGACUGGAAUUCCUGGUGUAGCGGUGAAAUGCGCAGAUAUCAGGAGGAACACCGGUGGCGAAGGCGGAUCUCUGGGCCUUACCUGACGCUCAGGUGCGAAAGCUAGGGGAGCGAACAGG
rnacentral:rRNA from 1 species